rnacentral:tRNA from 1 species
GGUAAAAUAUUUUAAAUAGAAAAUUUGGUUUGCAUCUAAAAAGAAAGAAUUAUCUUUUUUACCU